rnacentral:rRNA from 1 species
CAGUAGCCGCGGUAAUACGUAGGGUGCGAGCGUUGUCCGGAAUUAUUGGGCGUAAAGAGCUUGUAGGCGGUCUGUCGCGUCUGCUGUGAAAACCCGAGGCUCAACCUCGGGUCUGCAGUGGGUACGGGCAGACUAGAGUGCGGUAGGGGAGAACGGAACUCCUGGUGUAGCGGUGGAAUGCGCAGAUAUCAGGAAGAACACCGAUGGCGAAGGCAGUUCUCUGGGCCGUAACUGACGCUGAGAAGCGAAAGCGUGGGGAGCGAACAGGAUUAGAUACCCCCGUAGUCCCUGUCUCUUAUAA